GACGAACGCUGGCGGCGUGCUUAACACAUGCAAGUCGAACGAUGAAGCCGGAGCUUGCUCUGGUGAAUUAGUGGCGAACGGGUGAGUAACACGUGAGUAACCUGCCCUUGACUCUGGGAUAACUGCCAGAAAUGGUAGCUAAUACCGGAUACGACCCUCGGAGGCAUCUUCAGGGGGUGGAAAGAAUUUCGGUCAAGGAUGGAUUCGCGGCCUAUCAGCUAGUUGGUGAGGUAACGGCUCACCAAGGCGACGAGGGGUAGCCGGCCUGAGAGGGUGACCGGCCACACUGGGACUGAGACACGGCCCAGACUCCUACGGGAGGCAGCAGUGGGGAAUAUUGCACAAUGGGCGCAAGCCUGAUGCAGCAACGCCGCGUGAGGGAUGACGGCCUUCGGGUUGUAAACCUCUUUUAGUAGGGAAGAAGCGAAAGUGACGGUACCUGCAGAAAAAGCACCGGCUAACUACGUGCCAGCCGCCGCCGUAA
rnacentral:rRNA from 1 species